rnacentral:rRNA from 1 species
GUCGAGGGGCAGCGGGGCGGCAGGCUUGCCUGCCGCCGCCGGCGACCGGCGCACGGGUGAGUAACACGUAUGCAACCUGCCCGUGGCAGGGGGAUAAGCGGGGGAAACCCCGUCUAAUACCGCGUAACGCGGCCUUGGGGCAUCCCCUGGCCGCCAAAGGGAGCAAUCCCGGCCACGGAUGGGCAUGCGGCGCAUUAGCUAGUCGGCGGGGUAACGGCCCACCGAGGCGACGAUGCGUAGGGGUUCUGAGAGGAAGGCCCCCCACACUGGUACUGAGACACGGACCAGACUCCUACGGGAGGCAGCAGUGAGGAAUAUUGGUCAAUGGGCGCGAGCCUGAACCAGCCAAGUCGCGUGAGGGAUGACGGCCCUACGGGUUGUAAACCUCUUUUGCCGGGGAGCAACGGUCGCCACGUGUGGCGCCACUGAGAGUACCCGGAGAAAAAGCAUCGGCUAACUCCGUGCCAGCAGCCGCGGUAAUACGGAGGAUGCGAGCGUUAUCCGGAUUUAUUGGGUUUAAAGGGUGCGUAGGCGGAUCGUUAAGUCAGUGGUCAAAUUGAGGGGCUCAACCCCUUCCCGCCAUUGAAACUGGCGAUCUUGAGUGGAAGAGAAGUAUGCGGAAUGCGUGGUGUAGCGGUGAAAUGCAUAGAUAUCACGCAGAACCCCGAUUGCGAAGGCAGCAUGCCGGCUUCCGACUGACGCUGAAGCACGAAAGCGUGGGGAUCGAACAGGAUUAGAUACCCUGGUAGUCCACGCGGUAAACGAUGAGCGCUAGGUGUCCGGGGGGAAUGGCCCCUGGGUGCCACAGCGAAAGCGU